rnacentral:rRNA from 1 species
GUAAUGGCUCACCAAGGCAAUGAUCUCUAGCUGGUCUGAGAGGAUGAUCAGCCACACUGGAACUGAGACACGGUCCAGACUCCUACGGGAGGCAGCAGUAGGGAAUAUUGCGCAAUGGGGGAAACCCUGACGCAGCGACGCCGCGUGAGUGAUGAAGGCCUUCGGUCGUAAGACUCUGUUGCAGGGGAAGUAAGACAGUGAAUGUACCCUCGCGAGAAAGGACCGGCUAACUUCGUGCCAGCAGCCGCGGUAAUACGAGGGGUCCGUAGCGUUGUUCGGAAUCAUUGGGCGUAAAGCGUAUGUAGGUGGCUAUGUAAGUCAGGUGUGAAAUCCCCGGGCCUCAACCUGGGAAGUGCAUUUGAAACUGCGUAGCUUGAGUAUGGAAGAGGGUAGUAGAAUUCCCUGGUGUAGUGGUGAAAUACGUAGAUAUCAGGAGGAAUUCCGGUGG